UCCGAAGGGGGCUAGCGUUGUUCGGAAUCACUGGGCGUAAAGGGCGCGUAGGCGGCUUUAUAAGUCGGGGGUGAAAGCCUGUGGCUCAACCACAGAAUUGCCUUCGAUACUGUAGAGCUUGAGACCGGAAGAGGUAAGUGGAACUGCGAGUGUAGAGGUGAAAUUCGUAGAUAUUCGCAAGAACACCAAUGGCGAAAGCAGCUUUCUGGGACGGUACUGACGCUGAGACGCGAAAGCGUGGGGAGCGAACAGG
rnacentral:rRNA from 1 species